UACAGAGGGUGCGAGCGUUAAUCGGAAUUACUGGGCGUAAAGCGUGCGUAGGUGGUGAGUUAAGUCUGUCGUGAAAGCCCCGGGCUCAACCUGGGAAUGGCGAUGGAUACUGGCUCGCUAGAGUGCGGUAGAGGAGAGUGGAAUUCCCGGUGUAGCAGUGAAAUGCGUAGAGAUCGGGAGGAACAUCGUAGUGAGCGGAGCGCU
rnacentral:rRNA from 1 species